ACUCCUACGGGAGGCAGCAGUGGGGAAUUUUGGACAAUGGACGAAAGUCUGAUCCAGCCAUGCCGCGUGCGGGAAGAAGGCCUUCGGGUUGUAAACCGCUUUUGUCAGGGAAGAAAUCUUCUGGGCGAAUAACCUGGGAGGAUGACGGUACCUGAAGAAUAAGCACCGGCUAACUACGUGCCAGCAGCCGCGGUAAUAC
rnacentral:rRNA from 1 species